rnacentral:rRNA from 1 species
CCUACGGGAGGCAGCAGUCGAGAAUAAUUCACAAUGGGGGAAACCCUGAUGGUGCGACGCCGCGUGGGGGAAUGAAGUUCUUCGGAUUGUAAACCCCUGUCAUGUGGGAGCAAAUUAAAAAGAUAGUACCACAAGAGGAAGAGCCGGCUAACACGGUGCCAGCAGCAGCGGGAAUACAGAGGGCGCAAGCGGUGGGCGGAACGACUGGGCGGAAAGCGUGCGGAGGCUGGUGCGUUAGGCGUGGGUGAAAGGCGCGGGCUCAACCCGCGGACGGCACUUGAUACUGCGAGACUAGAGUGAUGGAGGGGCAGCCGGAAUUCUCGGUGUAGCCGU